GCGAGGGGCGGGGCCCGGCUGAGGGGGAGCGAUCCGGUUCCCAGGGAAGGGCGGCUGUCCUUUUCUGUGUUUGAGAUGUGUAUGCUCAACUCUUGGUGUGAUCAAGACCACCAACUCCAGCUUCAACUUUGUUUCUGCUUCCUGUCCCAUCACAUUAAUUUUCCAGACUUCAAAAGGAAAAAAAUAGGCAUCUCAGUGGUUACUUUUUGGUCAAAAAAACCCCAACAAAACAAAAACAAACAAAAAAAAUCCCAGCCCUAGACUUUUCUCUAUACCAGGCUGCAGUUUAAUUUGAAACAAUUAAAUAUUCAGUGUAAAGCAAAAUAAAAAUAAAAUUUAUAACUCUA